GAUGAACGCUGGCGGCGUGCCUAAUACAUGCAAGUCGAGCGAACGGACGAGAAGCUUGCUUCUCUGAUGUUAGCGGCGGACGGGUGAGUAACACGUGGAUAACCUACCUAUAAGACUGGGAUAACUUCGGGAAACCGUAGCUAAUACCGGAUAAUAUUUUGAACCGCAUGGUUCAAAAGUGAAAGACGGUCUUGCUGUCACUUAUAGAUGGAUCCGCGCUGCAUUAGCUAGUUGGUAAGGUAACGGCUUACCAAGGCAACGAUGCAUAGCCGACCUGAGAGGGUGAUCGGCCACACUGGAACUGAGACACGGUCCAGACUCCUACGGGAGGCAGCAGUAGGGAAUCUUCCGCAAUGGGCGAAAGCCUGACGGAGCAACGCCGCGUGAGUGAUGAAGGUCUUCGGAUCGUAAAACUCUGUUAUUAGGGAAGAACAUAUGUGUAAGUAACUGUGCACAUCUUGACGGUACCUAAUCAGAAAGCCACGGCUAACUACGUGCCAGCAGCCGCGGUAAUACGUAGGUGGCAAGCGUUAUCCGGAAUUAUUGGGCGUAAAGCGCGCGUAGGCGGUUUUUUAAGUCUGAUGUGAAAGCCCACGGCUCAACCGUGGAGGGUCAUUGGAAACUGGAAAACUUGAGUGCAGAAGAGGAAAGUGGAAUUCCAUGUGUAGCGGUGAAAUGCGCAGAGAUAUGGAGGAACACCAGUGGCGAAGGCGACUUUCUGGUCUGUAACUGACGCUGAUGUGCGAAAGCGUGGGGAUCAAACAGGAUUAGAUACCCUGGUAGUCCACGCCGUAAACGAUGAGUGCUAAGUGUUAGGGGGUUUCCGCCCCUUAGUGCUGCAGCUAACGCAUUAAGCACUCCGCCUGGGGAGUACGACCGCAAGGUUGAAACUCAAAGGAAUUGACGGGGACCCGCACAAGCGGUGGAGCAUGUGGUUUAAUUCGAAGCAACGCGAAGAACCUUACCAAAUCUUGACAUCCUUUGACAACUCUAGAGAUAGAGCCUUCCCCUUCGGGGGACAAAGUGACAGGUGGUGCAUGGUUGUCGUCAGCUCGUGUCGUGAGAUGUUGGGUUAAGUCCCGCAACGAGCGCAACCCUUAAGCUUAGUUGCCAUCAUUAAGUUGGGCACUCUAAGUUGACUGCCGGUGACAAACCGGAGGAAGGUGGGGAUGACGUCAAAUCAUCAUGCCCCUUAUGAUUUGGGCUACACACGUACUACAAUGGACAAUACAAAGGGCAGCGAAACCGCGAGGUCAAGCAAAUCCCAUAAAGUUGUUCUCAGUUCGGAUUGUAGUCUGCAACUCGACUACAUGAAGCUGGAAUCGCUAGUAAUCGUAGAUCAGCAUGCUACGGUGAAUACGUUCCCGGGUCU
rnacentral:rRNA from 1 species